rnacentral:misc_RNA from 1 species
UUGUACCAAAUGUGCGAGGCAUGCGAGGGCUGUCGCUGACUGAAAAGUCGUGCACGCCGGAGGGUGUCUUCUCACAUAAUAAUCCAUCUCACCCCUUGUGCAUCACCGCGUGGGCACCCUUUGGGAUCUGACCGAUCCUGGAAGGGGGCUCACGUUUUCACACAAACCCCACAUCUAAAAGUGUAGAAUGACCUCGUUCAUGCAAUAAAUA